GCUGUGUAUGCACAUAUCUAGUAAAGCACCAUUUCAGUGGAAGAGCAAAAUUUUAAAGCGGUUUCUACUAUGAGUAGACUUUUACAGCAGUCUGCAACAAAGUACAUGAAAAAUAUUUUGGAUGAAUCCAUCAUUUUAAAUUAAAAUGUAGAUGGAACCCACGGGAAAAAGUCCCUCAAAACAUACCCAAAACUAUAUGCAUCGAUAAUAGAGGCUAUUUCUCAUUUACCUAGUACAAAAAAUUCUGAAGUACUAUUACGCGCUGCAUUCAGGAUCCAUAAAAAACGUUAUUUUAAAAACUCAGCACUAAACAAAACAAUAUAAUUUGAGUUACUCAGUAUUAGAUUUAAUCCAAUAUUCUACUUUCAAUUGAAUGACUGACUCAAUUCUAGUUCUUUUGUUUUAAGAAAUCACCAUUUAUGUUCAAAUUACUACUUGAUGUUAUACUUAAUUCACGGUAUUAAUGGUAAUUUUAAGAGGAAUUUUAUUUCCAGCAGUUUAUUUUCAAUUCCAAUUUUAAUGAUUUUAAUGUAACGCGUGUAACCAGCGCCAAACUAGCUCGAUAUUUGACAGAACGGGUUCACGUUCUAACCCUUUUGCCAUGCUUUCAACUAUCCCUUUUUACAUGGCGAUGUCCUACGAAGUGACGAUUGUCUCCCCCUGCAAAACUUUACAACGCCUCCUGAACUGGUCCUUUUUUCGGUAGUUCUGAGAUAGAUCGAAAAUAGAAAGUCAUGAACUAGUUCGGAAAUGAAGAGUUCAGGCUAGUUCAAAAAACCAUAGUCCCAAACUCGUUCGAAAAGCACUAAAUGAAAUGGAUUGAAAAUAAAAAUAAAAUUUCAAUUGUGUAAAGUUAUUUACUUUGUACAUAUAAUUUAUUUUCCAAUUCAAGAAUACAGUGGCAACUUAAAGAAUUUAAAAUUCAUAUUAGUUGUGCAUAAAAAGUGCUAGUGUAGUUUAAAAUGAUGGAUGCAUGUUUUGCCGGCAUAAAUUCCAGCAAAAUCUGCAACUUCUAGCGCAAUAGAUCGGGGGAAAAUACGCCCAACUAUGCAAAGAGGGUCAGAACGCAGGGGCCUUCUUUUGCUGAAGUAGCCAAGGAGCAGAUCCUGCUCGGCGUCAUUGAUGAGAGCAAUGAAGACAGCCUCACCCUGAGGCAGCAAUGAAAGUGGGUUAAGGCCGCGAUGGCCGACAUUGCUAUCAACAUUAUGUUGGAGAAUCCGGGACCUCCGCCAACCUGCAAGGGAGCGGGGUAGUUCCAAACUAACAUCCGCAUUAUAGCAUGCGAGGAUGCUAGAUCAGCGGAGAUCUACAAGAAGACAGUCGCAGGUAUUGGAUAAGUCUACCCUGGUGCGAAGCUCAGGGCGGUCGACUUCAAGGAACUACCGGUGCGACCGAGAGCGAGAGCAUGGUUGCCUUGCAGGCCAGCGGAACCAGAAAGGAUCCUGCAAACCAUAAGGCUCUAUAACCCGGAGCUACCUACCGAAAAUUGGAAGGUGGUAAAAAUAAAUGAAAGCGGUAAAGCGACGAUGCAGCUUGUCCUGCUUCUAAAUAAGGACUCCAUAGAGUUGCUGGAGCAAAAGAGCGGGGUCAUACGGUGCGGCUGUGACUUGGCCAAAAUUAAGGUCUAUAGCCACGACGUAAACGCAGCGAAGAACCUGAUCGCGGAGGUAGAGCCGGAAGAGGCCAACAGCUACGUGGAGAUGGAGAAGGAAUCCGAGCAGGUUGAUCCUAUGGAUGACCUGACCGGGGAUUAUGCCUCAUCGACGUCUUCGCUGGGGGUCGGACGCAUGCUUCGGCUUUAUACGGAGGAGGAGUUGAUCGAGAUGUCGGAAGACGCGGUCAACUCCACCCUAAUAGGCGACGUGGGCGAUAACGGCCAAGAUGGUGAAGGUACUGCAGAUUAACCUUCACCACUAUAAAGCAGAUUCAGCUGCACUGAUGCUCCAUCUAACAGCUAAAGGGGCAGCCGACAUCGUCCUAAUCCAAGAACCUUGGGUGGUGGGACAAAACAUUUUUGGGCUGAAAGCGCCGGGCUACAGACUGCGACAAGGACACAACAGCGGUCAGUCUUAGUGUAAACGGACGACCAAUUAAGAUGGCAUCCAUGUACCUAGCGCACGACAAGGAGGUGCCAACUAUCUGCAUUAAAGACCUAGUGGCCAGCACGAGGGAGGCGCUAAUUUUGGGAGGUGACGCGAAUGCUCACCAUCACACCUGGGGCAGCUCCGAUGAUAACGAACGGGGUGAGUCACUUUUUAAUUUCAUACU